rnacentral:lncRNA from 1 species
AAGAAUGGUCCCUAAUAAUCACUAAUUGAAGUUAAUGUUUUAUCUUUCCCACCAAUAUUUUCCAAUAAAAUUUACAUAUUCCCUCCAAAUGUAAAUCACGAACUAAAUAUAAUUUCAGGAAAAAGUUUUUGAAAGGUCUUCCAUCGUACUGCUCAGACAUCACUACCCAACUAAUAGUUAUCUCACCAACCCGACCACCAUCCCUAGUUACCCAACUCAUCAUUCUGAUUAUCUACCGUAAAAGAACAUUCGGAGAUGCAGCAAAUAAAUAGAUAAAGAGGGUAAGCCACACAUUAGUAAAUUAAGAAAAAAUUGAUUUUUGGUGGCCUCGAACUGAAAGAAAAUCGAGGUACGAUCUCUCAGAUUUGGUCUUCUGGUAAUUUUUUUACUUUAUUCAUUCACUAUCAAUGUAGAUUCUAUUAAUUUUUUGUGAUGGACUUCUUGCUCUCUUACUGUUCAUUAUGGAUUUUCUAAGUUCUAUUCACAAUGCUGGAUGGGAUCUGAUUUUACAUGAGAGUGGUGAAUUUCAGAGAUAUUAGUGACGUAGUUUGAGAUUCUUUUUCCCCUUUUUGGUAUCUAUUUUUCAGUUACUGAUUUGUAUUCAUUGUUAUAAAUCUGGGAUGCUUUAAAAUGUAAAAUAAUAGUUAAGAAGAACACUUGGUGCUUAUACAUAUGAAAUUAACAAAGAAUUCUCUAAAUUUUUAUGUUGUAGAGCUCAUCUACCUUUAUAUUGGGAAGGAAAGCUAACAAAGUCUUGGUCUCCGAGUCUCUAUUAUUGCCUUUGGCCUUCCGGUCCUCUGUUGAAACUAACAUUGAAUUUUUCUAUUUAUUGAUGUAGUAACUUUUUCAUGCAUAUAUGGAUAUCUCUAGUUUUUGUGUGCGCCUUUAUUUCUCUAGUUUGAAGGGUCGCUAAGGAAAGUAAUCUUUUGUGUGCGCCUAUAAAAACCCAUUUUGUUUUGAUCACCAAAUUGACUCCUAACAUUUAAACAAACAGGAUAUACUAAUUGCUACUAGACUUUGUUAGAAUAUUUGACUCAAAUUCUUGUUUGAUUCUAAUUGACAAAGGAUAGGUACAGUUGAUCAUCUAUCAGUCUAUCUCUAAGAAUUGGAUCGAGGUUGUAGCUAUUAUGUAGAAUACUUCUUAUUUGUCUUAAAACGUGAUACUUAUUAUCUGUAUAUUUGUUAUUGGGAAUACGAAGCAGUCUGUUAAACGAACAAUUUCAGCUGAAGAAACAAUAUCAAUACCAGGCUCGUCAAUGCAUCUAUAGCUUAUUAAGGUGUUGGAAGAUAUAUUUUGAUAACAUGAUGUCUUUAGGAUUUGAAUUGAGUCCUGCAGUGAUAGGUCUCUUAGCCCCUUUUCCUUCUUUAAUACAGACAAUGCUAUAUCCAACCAAAAUAUAUACUACAUUAAUGAUAUUUUACCUUUUCAGUUCUUGAUGACUUGAUCUUCUUCUAAUAUGCUUUAUGUAAUCAACUCUUUAAUAGUGUUGUAGACCAACAAGAGGUUAAAGUUUGUUAUUGUCCUAAAGAAGAAAAUGAUUUAAUUAAAGAUCUUAUUGGUAUUCAAGCCCGUGGUUGCUCUGCUUCUCCUCACUAACUUCAAGUUAGUUCACCCAUUUAUUUCCGUUCUUUUUUUUUGUGCUCUAAGAUGGUAAUAUAAUUGUUAUGGUAUUAUUACAAUAAUAUGCUACACUUAUAUUGUAAUACUCUGAGAUUAAGAAGCCCAUGGAUUAAAAAGUGGACUUAAUAAUUUGAAGUAUUUAUCGUUAUAAUGAUUUCGAAUUUCUUUCUAAUAAUAAUAAUCUUUUAAUGAUCAUUAUUAAGGUGAUCGAUAAUAGAGUGCGGUUUAACACGGAAAAAAUACUAAAUAGAUCAUAGAUUACAUGUCCUUGUUUCAGUCCUUAUAGUAUUAGUGUUGCCUCUAUGUCAUUGAAAUAGUUGUGGUAAAGGAGGUUCAUUUAUUUCUUUGGUUGGAUUCAGUAUAUAGUUCAAGUAUAUUUUAGUCUCCCCAAAGUGAAUUUACAGGAUGAUAUAUCAGUUUCUAUAUUUGUUUAUAUCCUUCAGACAAUUUGGCAUCAAUAAAUGAUUCUUUUGAGAGUAUUUAUCCUUAUUUCUCUCCCUAAAGCAAGUCUCAUGAGGUUCACAAGACUAAUCUUUAUUAGAACAUUUGCUUUUGAGCAGUUGGUUGUGAAGUUGUUUGUUUAAGAUAGCAAAGUGCCAAAGCAUAGGGGUAGAAGUUCCAGGGGUGCAAGGAUUAAAAUAUUUUCUUCUAAGAUAUUUUUGUUGCUUCAUAUUUUGCGAAACUUAAGGCAAUAUUGCUAAGCAAAUAUUGCUAAACAUUGUCUUUUACAAAAGAUUAUCUAGAAGUGUUUGAAGUUGGGAGCUACUUUGACAAUAAAUUUAUGAGACUUAUAAUUUUUUUUUACAUCAGAUUUCAUCUUUUGACAUUCGCUCAGUUUUAUUAUUUCAGGUCAUAUAGUAUGAUGUUUGAAAGUUUAGCAUGUAGAAAGACUUUAAUGAUGAAAGAGUUGUAAACUAGUGUUUAUGUCAGCUUUUAUAGAUUGAAUUCAUCUUCCUACUUAUUAAUUCGUGUACCAGUACCUCCCCUGCCACCAUUGUCUACCAUAUUUUUAAGGAAGCCACCUUUCCGCCGCAAGUAGAUAAAAAUGUAAAUUACAUGCAUAUUUCAUGCAGUAUAUACUUAUUAUUGAUUCAAAAAAAGUCAGUCAAUAUUUAAUAGUUGAAACCCAUUUUUUAAACUUCUUUUAAGAUUAAGAUACCAUUGAUAAUUCCAAUUGUGAACGACCUAUGAGACGGAGCAGUCAUAGGCCAUACAGUGAUAAUACAUAACUACAUUCAAUAGCAUUAUAGGAAUUAUUUGGCAGCUGCAAGAGUUUGGUCUGCUUUUAGGCAUAGAAAGUCCAUGAACUUGUAUAGAUUGGUAUUUAAUAAAUAGUUGGUUCGCAGCUGUGAUAAUUUACCUUUUCACUACUCGGAUUGUUGGUCUGAUGGUGUUGUGAAUUAUACAGUUACUUAAUGAUAUCUUUUAUGAAGCAGUAAAGUUACUUUUUCUAUGUCAUAUGACUAACUAGGUAUACUAGGAACCAAUUUAUACUUUAGAAGUCAAAUUUCUUUAAGGAGUUCAUGCUUUCCUUUUGGAUAGACCUCAUUGAAAUAGUAUGGAACUUAGUUCUUGCUUUAGUAGAUGUUUUCAUUCAAAUUUGGUCUCUAAUUAUGAUAAAGAGCUUAUCUAUUUUCUUGCCUGAAGAAGUGGGUGAUUUAUUAUCAGAUUCUGCUAGGAAUGAGUUAUUUGUUACAGCUGCCACUAACUAUUGUGUCACUGCUGUAAUGUUUAUUGUCACUAUGCAUUAUUCAUCAUAGCUAUUGCCAAGUUUAGGAUUAUGUGAUAUCUCAAAGAUCGCUAAUAUUAUUGUAGUGUUAUGAAGUGCUUAAAUGGUUAAAUGUAUGUUUUGGUUGAUAGAAGGCAAAAAUAACUCCCUAGUUUUUUUUUAUUGAGAUGGUAACAUAUAAAUUACUCCUGCUAAUUAUUUCUCAUUAUCACACAAUAUUUACUUGGAUUGGCAUUUUGAAAGGCAUUCUUUAUGCUUCCCUAAGACAGACAUGCAUGACUGAAAUACAUCUUAGGAAAGUCAUGUCUUUAAAAGGAACUUUAAUGUAUUGAAAAUCUCUGCGGAUCAUUCGUUUAAUCUCUGGUAUUGAAGAGAUGUAGUUCAUGAGUUUCAUCAAAGCAAUAGAUUUUCUGUAGUUCUUACCUUUUAAUUCUAUCAAUAUAUCUAACAUAAUUUUACAGUGUUUGAAUUCAUGCAACCAUUAGCUUGAAUUGAGUUUUGUCAACUUUGAUUUGCUUUGUGUAUUUUUGACAAAUAAAAUAUCCAGUCCCAUAUCAUCUCUCAUAUUGAUGUUCUUGUUAUUUUGUUAUUCCAUUUUCUCAUUCCUUAAUGUCUUUCAAAUACAUGUACAUGACAAAGAUCUAAACUGACGGGUUAUCCCCUGUAGUAUGAUGUAGUUGCUCCUGACACUGUCUCGGUCAGUUCAUGAUUAUCACAGUUUCUCUUCCCAACAUUGCAUGAGCAUUGUGCGUUCUCUUUUACUAUAUGGAAGAAUUUACUUAUCUAAUUAUAAUUUCAAGCAAGCUCCAACUAGUCUGGAAUUGAGGAUUAUUGUCUUUUAUUUAUUGUCUUAGUUAUUUUAUAAUUUCAGGUCAUACAGUCUGAUGUUCGAUAAUUUAGCGGGUGGAAUAUUACAAUAUGAUGAAGAGUUGCAGAAAUUAUUUGAAGAUUGUACUUCGUAAAGAUUAGUUAUAUAAUGACAUUAGCUAUUUAGUUCAAACAAUUUAAGUUUAUUUUUUUAAGUUAUUGUGAUAUUAAUAUUUUGG